rnacentral:tRNA from 1 species
CAUUGAAUGGCUGAAAUCUUAAGCAAUGGUCUCUUAAACCAAUUUAUAGUAAAAAAUUACUUUCAAUGA